UAAUACGAAGGGUCCUAGCGUUGUUCGGAAUUAUUGGGCUUAAAGCGCACGCAGGCGGGAGACUAAGUGUUUUGUGAAAUCCCUCGGCUUAACCGAGGAACUGCUUGGCAUACUGGUUUCCUUAAGGCAGGUAGAGGUGCAUGGAACUCUAGGUGGAGCGGUGAAAUGCGUAGAUAUCUAGAGGAACGCCAGUGGUGAAAACGGUGCACUGGGCCUGUCCUGACGCUGAGGUGCGAAAGCGUGGGGAGCGAAGAGGAUUAGAUACCCUCGUAGUCCACGCCGUAAACGAUGUCUACUAGGUUGCGGAGGCUCUGACGUCCUCGCAGCCGAAGCAAAAGUGAUAAGUAGACCGCCUGGGGAGUACGGUCGCAAGGCUA
rnacentral:rRNA from 1 species